AUUGAACGCUGGCGGCAGGCCUAACACAUGCAAGUCGAGCGAGCCGCGGACGGGUGAGUAAUGCCUGGGAAUUGCCCAGUCGAGGGGGAUAACAUUUGGACACGACUGCUUACACCGCAUACUAUUGGAUCGCCCCGGUGGGAUUAGCUUGUUGGUGGGGGAAUGGCUCACCAAGGCGACGACCCCUAGCUGGUCUGAGAGGAUGAGCAGCCACACUGGAACUGAGACACGGGCCAGACUCCUACGGGAGGCAGCAGUGGGGAAUAUUGCACAAUGGGGGAAACCCUGAUGCAGCCAUGCCGCGUGUGUGAAGAAGGCCUUCGGGUUGUAAAGCACUUUCAGCGAGGAGGCGUUACUCGCAGAAGAAGCACCGGCUAACUCCGUGCCAGCAGCCGUGGUAAUUC
rnacentral:rRNA from 1 species